UACGUAGAGCGCAAGCGUUGUCCGGAAUUAUUGGGCGUAAAGGGUACGCAGGCGGAUAAUAUAGUCAAGCGUGAAAGGUGUCGGCUUAACCGACAGACUGCGUUUGAAACUGAUUAUCUUGGGUGUAACAGAGGAGAGUGGAACCUUCCUAGUGUAGUGGUGAAAUACGUAGAUAUUAGGAAGAACACCAGUGGCGAAGGCGACUCUCUGGGUUAACACUGACGCUGAGGUACGAAAGCUGGGGGAGCAAAACGGGAUUAGAUACCCCCCGUAGU
rnacentral:rRNA from 1 species